AGAGUUUGAUUCUGGCUCAGGAUGAACGCUAGCUACAGGCUUAACACAUGCAAGUCGAGGGGUAGCAGGGUAGCAAUACCGCUGACGACCGGCGCACGGGUGAGUAACACGUAUCCAACCUUCCCAUAACUCAGGGAUAGCCUUUCGAAAGAAAGAUUAAUACCUGAUAGUACUUUUUCAAGGCAUCUUGAGAAAGUUAAAGAUUUAUUGGUUAUGGAUGGGGAUGCGUUCCAUUAGAUAGUUGGUGAGGUAACGGCUCACCAAGUCUUCGAUGGAUAGGGGUUCUGAGAGGAAGGUCCCCCACAUUGGUACUGAGACACGGACCAAACUCCUACGGGAGGCAGCAGUGAGGAAUAUUGGUCAAUGGGCGAGAGCCUGAACCAGCCAAGUAGCGUGAAGGAAUGAAGGUCCUAUGGAUUGUAAACUUCUUUUAUAGUAGAAUAAAGUGAGCCACGUGUGGUUUUUGUAUGUAUACUAUGAAUAAGGAUCGGCUAACUCCGUGCCAGCCGCAGC
rnacentral:rRNA from 1 species